rnacentral:sRNA from 17 species
GUCAACAACCCCUCGGCUAAAGACCGAGGGGCUUGUAAGGGCAACCUUAUAAGCCCAGUUGACCAGGUUAGGUGGGAACGAGCUACGUUAGGGACGAAUAUAUAGGCACUCCGUCGAUGCUUCACCAGUUGCGGACUCUGCG